rnacentral:rRNA from 1 species
UACGAAGGGUGCAAGCGUUACUCGGAAUUACUGGGCGUAAAGCGCACGUAGGCGGCUUUCUAAGUCGGGGGUGAAAUCCUGGAGCUCAACUCCAGAACUGCCUUCGAUACUGGAGAGCUUGAGUCCGGGAGAGGUGAGUGGAACUGCGAGUGUAGAGGUGAAAUUCGUAGAUAUUCGCAAGAACACCAGUGGCGAAGGCGGCUCACUGGCCCGGUACUGACGCUGAGGUGCGAAAGCGUGGGGAGCAAACAGG